UUUUUAUGAUUCUGAAUUAAUUAACA
rnacentral:misc_RNA from 1 species